rnacentral:rRNA from 1 species
AGUGAACGCUGGCGGUAGGCCUAACACAUGCAAGUCGAACGGCAGCACAGUAAGAGCUUGCUCUUACGGGUGGCGAGUGGCGGACGGGUGAGGAAUGCAUCGGAAUCUACUUUUUCGUGGGGGAUAACGUAGGGAAACUUACGCUAAUACCGCAUACGACCUACGGGUGAAAGCAGGGGAUCUUCGGACCUUGCGCGAUUGAAUGAGCCGAUGUCGGAUUAGCUAGUUGGCGGGGUAAAGGCCCACCAAGGCGACGAUCCGUAGCUGGUCUGAGAGGAUGAUCAGCCACACUGGAGCUGAGACACGGUCCAGACUCCUACGGGGGGCAGCAGUGGGGAAUAUUGGACAAUGGGCGCAAGCCUGAUCCAGCCAUACCGCGUGGGUGAAGAAGGCCUUCGGGUUGUAAAGCCCUUUUGUUGGGAAAGAAAAGCAGCAGGUUAAUACCCCGCUGUUCUGACGGUACCCAAAGAAUAAGCACCGGCUAACUUCGUG